rnacentral:rRNA from 1 species
GUGGGGAAUAUUGGACAAUGGGCGAAAGCCUGAUCCAGCCAUGCCGCGUGUGUGAAGAAGGUCUUCGGAUUGUAAAGCACUUUAAGUUGGGAGGAAGGGCAGUAAGUUAAUACCUUGCUGUUUUGACGUUACCGACAGAAUAAGCACCGGCUAACUCUGUGCCAGCAGCCGCGGUAAUACAGAGGGUGCAAGCGUUAAUCGGAAUUACUGGGCGUAAAGCGCGCGUAGGUGGUUCGUUAAGUUGGAUGUGAAAGCCCCGGGCUCAACCUGGGAACUGCAUCAAAAACUGGCGAGCUAGAGUACGGUAGAGGGUGGUGGAAUUUCCUGUGUAGCGGUGAAAUGCGUAGAUAUAGGAAGGAACACCAGUGGCGAAGGCGACCACCUGGACUGAUACUGACACUGAGGUGCGAAAGCGUGGGGAGCAAACAGGAUUAGAAACCCGGGUAGUCC